ensembl:lncRNA
AGCCGGCACAGCCAGAAGUCUGAUUCCUCUCUAAGUUUCUUCAUAGGGAGUUUUUCCUGUGAAUCAAACCAUGUUUUUGCUUGCGGUUUAGGGUUUCUUGGGUGUCUAUAUAAGCACUUUGACACAAUUGCUGUUGUAAAAAGGGCUUUAGGAAAUAAACUGGAUUGAUUGCUGCCAAAGGCACUUCUCAAGUACUGAACAAAGGGACUGAAUAUGUACAUAAGAUAUCUGAUUUUUAUUUUUAAUAAAAUGGAAAAAUGGUACAAAGGUUUUUAGCAUUUUAUGUGGGUGUGUAGAUUGACAGAAACAGAAAGACAGAAAGUGAAGGGGUCUGAAUAAUUUCUGAAGGCACCGCGAGUGAAAGAAACGUAAGCCGAAUUCCUGCCCCUCACUCAGGAUCUGACAUCAUGAGUUGCUAUCAGCCUCAGUGUGAUGAAGCUCUCUGGCACCCCGUUUGUGAUCAGUUGAUCACGGAUCUGGAAAUUGAACAAGCAGACACAACAGAUAUAUGAUUAUCAGGAGGAUCUGAGGGGAAUCCCGCAGUUGGUUGAAUGUGAAACCAUCUGACAUGGUGGAGUGAUACUGACUUGUGGUAAGACUUCUGUUGUGAUGUUUGCAUCUGUGAGCAAACCUGUAAGCAGUGGCUGAUAGGAAAGUUUUAUGCUCACUACAAGUAUGUGUCCUGUAGAAACAGUCAAAAUGGUUAACAAACACAUAUGCACACAUUAUUUUUGGAGUUUGAACAACCAGUGAACGCCAUACUUACUAGACCUGCUGCUCAGUGUUGUAAUGGUAGUAGAGGUAACUGGAAGAGUGGUGAUUGAGGUGGUUGUGGGAUUGGGGAUUGAGGUGGUUGUGGGAUUGGGGAUUGAGGUGGUUGUGGGAUUGGGGAUUGAGGUGGUUGUGGGAUUGGGGAUUGAGGUGGUUGUGGGAUUGGGGAUUGAGGUGGUUGUGGGAUUGGGGAUUGAGGUGGUUGUGGGAUUGGGGAUUGAGGUGGUUGUGGGAUUGGGGAUUGAGGUGGUUGUGGGAUUGGGGAUUGAGGUGGUUGUGGGAUUGGGGAUUGAGGUGGUUGUGGGAUUGGGGAUUGAGGUGGUUGUGGGAUUGGUGAUUGAGGUGGUUGUGGGAUUGGUGAUUGAGGUGGUUGUGGGAUUGGUAGUUAAGAUGGCUGGGAGAUUGGUGGUUAUGUUUGGAAUGGUAGAUGUAGGAGCUGUAGCACAAAGAAAGACAAACAAAUUGGCUGAUCAAUUAAUGUUUUCGUCAAAGAUGCAGUCUCCAAUUUUCAGUGGAGAGUUGUAAAACUGGAGCUGUCAAGCCAAAUUGGUUCACAGAAAAUGGUGAUAUGUGUUACGUAUGUGUCAAUUUGUGCCAAAUGUUAUUUAAAAAACACUCACUUUCAAAUGAGAAUUUCAUUGAUGACUGAUAUGAUAAAAUGUAUAAUAUUCUACUUAUAGAUUAGGCUAAUAUAAAAAAAACAUAUUACACAUCCAGACAUAAAUGUGUACAAUGUUCAGACAAAAUUUGAAGCAUUGGUCAAACAAUGUUAGCAUGUAUUUUGAACUUUUCAAGUUGAGAACAUUCAAUGGCAUUGCCCAUGAAUAGACUAAGCACAAUAUGCAACUGUAGGCCCAGUCCUCAUGUAAAAUGUCCCUGAUUGUCUUGAAAGGCGUCCCCCAAAUAAAAUGUAUUAUUCUUAUUCUUACUUGAAACGUAGUACUACAUACACAAUUAGAGACACCUAAUGAUAUAUGUCCAGUUACCGACCAAUGUAAUGCUAAAUGUAUAAUAACAGACAAAGAUGUCUAUUUAUUAGUACUGAAAAAAAAAAAUAUAUAUAUAUAUUUAUUAGUACUGACCAUUAAGAUGGUUACAAUCAUGUACAAUGGAUAUACUGUCGCUUAUAUGUGGCUGGCAUUGAUAUGACAUGACCACUGUCAAGGGGAGUCUGGUUAUUUGGGACAACAAGAGCUUCAGAUACCACAGACAUCAAUCCUGAAUCAGACAUUGUCUGGACGUCUAUCUAGACACCUGUGGUAACAGCGGUUGGACCAGGAACGUAAUGACGGAUGUGGAAUGAUUAGAUUAGUUCAUAUACUUGUCUGUGACAUUGAUUGUCUCUCUGUCGGUUGUCGAUGUAUUUUAACUGAAUCACUUGAAAAAGUGCAACUUAACCCUGUAACGCCAAGUGUAUCAAAACCUCUACGUCGUCAACAUGAUCAACACUUUCACUAAGAACCUGUUGUAUGCAAUCUGAUACAUGUCUUCUUCCCCCUGGUGGAUAGUCUGUGCACUGCAGGCAAAAGCGGGCUUUUUGAAUGACCGAUCAAAAAUGUCUGCUUUCAUAUAGCGACACACCCGUUUUUGAUAGGGAACUCUUUGCUAAUUUUGAAAAAGUUACAGUAAGAAUAACAUUUUUAUUGUUAGUAAUAUUUCUAUAUGAAUAUUUACUGUGUUGAAGCAACUUAUUAUUACUUAAUAUUUUGUACCUUAUUUUAUAGUAAAAUUGUGUUGAUAAUGUGUGUAUCAAAUAUGAUACAGCAGGUAUGUAAGGUAUUAAAUCCCUCAGUCGUCAUUGCAUUGAAUUUCAUGACGCAAUCUGCUUUAUGCCAAAUACACAAUUUAGAUUUUUUUAUAAAACUUAUGAAACAUUGGAUAUAUUUAAGAUAUACAGUGGGAGAACAAGUAUUUGAUACACUGCCGAUUUUGCAGGUUUUCCUACUUGCAAAGCAUGUAGAGGUCUGUAAUUUUUAUCAUAGGUACUCUUCAACUGUGAGAGACGGAAUCUAAAACAAAAAUCCAGAAAAUCACAUUGUAUGAUUUUUCAAUAAAAAAUUUUAGAUUCCGUCACUCACAGUUGAACAGUGUCUACGAUAAAAAUUACAGACUUCUACAUGCUUUGUAAGUGGGAAAACCUGCAAAAUCAGCAGUUCUCCCCAUUAUAUUUACAGUGGAAAUUGAGAUGUGUUUUUCUUUAUAUAUGCAACCCACAGUCAUGAUGAAGUCUUUUAUCAUCGAUUUUCACAAAAAUAACUUCUUGGCUGUCAUAAUAUGUAUGUUAUAUUGACAAAUUCAGAGAAGAAAUUCAGAGUACGAAAUGAAAUUCUGAGUAUGCAAUGUAUUUUUAGAUGGCCAAAGUAGUGUUCAAAAUGUCAUCAGCAUGACAUAGAUAGACGUUUUGACCAGACUAGUGAAUAAGUAGAGGUGUGACAGAACACUAUCCUCUCUAUAACCCCCCGCCACAGCAAAAUAAAAAGGUUUUAUUUUCUUCAGUUUUUAAAAUCAAGUUCCAAACCAACUGAAAUGGUCCAAAUGCAAUAAACAAUGUCUAUUUAGUUUUCUAAAAUAAAAAUUUUAGUGAUCAAUAAAUUACCAUGAAUGCCUGAUUAAUCAAAUAUUUUUUCUGCAUAUAUGUAAAUUAUAUUUAAAAAAUAUCACCAUGGAGUUCCACAAAAACUGUUUCAUUCCACUACAGGAACUGUAAUAACAACCUCAUCCAGAAUAGGGUAACAUUGCUCCAUGAGGCCUUUAAGUGCAGGUAAGGUCCAGUGACAGAAGAUUGUCUUCCGUUACUGGACCUUACCUGCACUUAAAGAUUGUUUUGUAGAAUUCACAGUGGAAUAAAGCAAUAAUAAAUGAAAUGUGAGAAAGUCUGUACACUGGGAGGAAAAUACAUAUGUUGUUGGCACAGGUGCCUAUGCACAUUACCAGGCAAUCACUGGUUGAUCUGACAAUUACUGAUACAAAAGAAUACUUUAAGGGCUACUGUAAAAUGUCCCUCAGUGAGACUACCAGAACACUAGAAAUGGGAUCAAUCUUCUCAGGGCAACAUGCAGUAGUAAAACUCACCACUUUCGUUUCCAACACGGAUGAUGACACAGCGCAGCUCAGAUUGGUACAGGGAACUGGGAAGAUCGACAGAAGUGGAAUUUUUUGCAUACAUUGACACAAUGUUUCUGAGACAAAAGCCACCAAAUCAUUUUUAUUGACACAUUUUUUGAGCAACAAACUAGUAAAUUACAUUCUGAAAGUACGGAGUGUAGGGAAAAAAAUCUCCACAGUUUUUCGUUAUGACUUUCAAAGUUGCCCACACUUUAGUUAGUUUAGUGUCAUAAAAAUGAACGUCAAGACAAAAUGUUUCAGACUCUGUUUAGCCGUGUUAUGUUUUUCAUUCUUGUUGUUGCAUAACAGUGUACAUUUAAAAGAUUUUCCAUAGAUUCAAGUCAAACUGUCAUUAGUCUGACCUGCCAUUCAGUCCCUGAGCGAUGAAGCACACAGGAUAAGCCCCUCCAUCCUCUGUAGUAGGCGUCCAUCUUAGAAGGUACAGUCCUGGGCUGGUGGUGUUCUUUGUGAUGUUCUGAGGUCCACUCACCAACAGCUCUGUAGCCCUUAACACAGGAAGGGAAAAAAAGAAAAUGAACAAUAACCUUUUGGCAUGAUGAGACUCUCAUUCAAAGCGAAUGUCUCUGACUUCCAGAUCCAAACGCAAUGGUCCCACCAAGUGGUACCUAAUAAAACAGUCCAUAUCUAGUGAAUUCUGUCAUCACAAUCUGUACUUGAAACCUAGAGGGAAGCUAAAGCUUUUUUUAUAAACGGAUGGCUAAGUGAGUGAAUGUGGUAGCCAAAUAUCAUUUGGACCUUGUGUGCAAACUGACAAAUAUCCAGGUUCCCUUUUUCAGAGAUUGAGUCAUGGCACUGGUGACUGACCCAACCCUUAGACUAGUGUUUCCUGGUUUCUAUCCUCUUA